AGGGGUUUGGGAUCAUGGCUCAAGACGAACGCUGGCGGCGUGCUUAACACAUGCAAGUCGAACGAACGGAGGAGAGCUUGCUCUCCAAUGUUAGUGGCGGACGGGUGCGUAACACGUGAGCAAUCUGCCCACAGGCGGGGGAUAGCCGGCCCAACGGCCGGGUAAUACCGCGUAAAGCAUCGAUGUCGCAUGGCAUUGAUGUGAAAGGGACUUCGGUCUCGCCUGUGGAGGAGCUCGCGGCGUAUCAGCUUGUUGGUGGGGUAAUGGCCUACCAAGGCUACGACGCGUAGCUGGUCUGAGAGGACGAUCAGCCACAUUGGGACUGAGAUACGGCCCAGACUCCUACGGGAGGCAGCAGUGGGGAAUAUUGCGCAAUGGCCGAAAGGCUGACGCAGCGACGCCGUGUGUGGGAUGAAGGCUUUCGGGUUGUAAACCACUGUCAGGAGGGACGAAACAAAUGACGGUACCUCCAGAGGAAGCGCCGGCUAACUCCGUGCCAGCAGCCGCGGUAACACGGAGGGCGCGAGCGUUGUUCGGAAUCACUGGGCGUAAAGCGCGCGUAGCNGUUGGAUAAGUCGCUUGUGAAAGCCCGGGGCUCAACUCCGGGAGGCCAGGCGAGACUGUUCGACUAGAGCACGGUAGAGGCAAGUGGAAUUCCCGGUGUAGCGGUGGAAUGCGNUAGAUAUCNGGGAAGAACACCAGUGGCGAAGGCGGCUUGCUGGGCCGUUGCUGACGCUGAGGUGCGAAA
rnacentral:rRNA from 1 species